UGGGGAAUAUUGCGCAAUGGGGGCAACCCUGACGCAGCCAUGCCGCGUGAAUGAAGAAGGCCUUCGGGUUGUAAAGUUCUUUCGGUGACGAGGAAGGCGUGAUGUUUAAUAGACAUCACGAUUGACGUUAAUCACAGAAGAAGCACCGGCUAACUCCGUGCCAGCAGCCGCGGUAAUACGGAGGGGGCGAGCGUUAAUCGGAAUAACUGGGCGUAAAGGGCACGCAGGCGGCUAUUUAAGUGAGGUGGG
rnacentral:rRNA from 1 species